rnacentral:lncRNA from 1 species
AAGUACUUCCACCAAGAGGAGUCAUUCGAAAUAUUGGAAUAUAUUAGUAAAAGGCAGUAGUGAUAGAAACUUUAGUACAGGUUCAUUCAGAUUACUUCAAAGGGUAAAGACUCAGAUGCUGAAGUUGGUUCAAACCGAAGAUCCUGCUACUUAUAGGAGCAUUUAAUACCUUGAACCAUUAACAUUCUGAAGGACUAAACACACUUACUUCUGGAAACUUAUUUUGGCUGGGACUUUGAGAUUUAUCUGUUUUUAAGUAUUUUGCUAGCAGAUUUCUUAUCCCCUUCCUUUCUUCUGUCCUUUGUUAAUGAAGAGAGGAUGGCUCAGUUUGUAUCCCAGCUGAAAUUGCCUGCAGCAAUGCUUGCUUCCCAAGCUCAUGGAAAACCAGGGCCACCAGGAAAAGAUGGUUUACCAGGGCCUCCAGGAAAAGAUGGUUUACCAGGGCCACCAGGAGAACGUGGACUUCAAGUUUGGUCUGCUCUGGAGUCAGAGCAAGUCAGACUGGAAUGAAGAACAUGAAAGCAAAACUGAAGAUGUGUGGAUCCUAAAGCUAUCAGAAGAAUAAAGACUUAUUAACAUUGAUAAGAGCA